AUGACACACUAUUUGGAGUUCAUUCUCUCCUCUGCUACUGGCCUCUUGGGCAAAGAACUGCCCCCACCCCGACUGCUAACCUUGGUCAUGCUGUCCUAACUGUGCUUGCAGGAGAUAAACUUAAAGAAGACUGCUUAACCCUGCCCAGUCAAAAUGAAAUGUGGUCACUCUGUUUCCUGAUGGGGCCAGCCUUAUGUUCUGUUUGCCACGCAUUUUUCUUCCAUGAUGGACUGUAUAACACCUAGAACUAUAAGGCAAAAUAAACUCUUCUUUCCCUAAGUUGCUUUUUAAAGAAGACUACUCUACCCAAACAACAUAAAAGUAAUUAAUAAAAACAGU
rnacentral:lncRNA from 1 species